rnacentral:rRNA from 1 species
GAACUUGACAUCCCACUCAGUCUCUUGAAGGAGAGAUGUAUCCUGUAACCUCACAGAGGUUACAGAAGGUGGACAC